UACGUAGGGCGCAAGCGUUAUCCGGAAUUAUUGGGCGUAAAGAGCUCGUAGGCGGUUUGUCGCGUCUGCCGUGAAAGUCCGGGGCUCAACUCCGGAUCUGCGGUGGGUACGGGCAGACUAGAGUGAUGUAGGGGAGACUGGAAUUCCUGGUGUAGCGGUGAAAUGCGCAGAUAUCAGGAGGAACACCGAUGGCGAAGGCAGGUCUCUGGGCAUUAGCUGACGCUGAUGCGCGACAGCGUGGGGAGCAAACAGG
rnacentral:rRNA from 1 species